rnacentral:rRNA from 1 species
UACAGAGGUCUCAAGCGUUGUUCGGAUUCAUUGGGCGUAAAGGGUGCGUAGGCGGUCAAGUAAGUGAGGUGUGAAAUCCCUCGGCUCAACCGAGGAACUGCGCUUGAUACUGCCUUGCUGGAGUACUGGAGAGGAGAUUGGAAUUUACGGUGUAGCAGUGAAAUGCGUAGAUAUCGUAAGGAAGACCAGUGGCGAAGGCGAAUCUCUGGACAGUUACUGACACUGAGGCACGAAGGCCAGGGGAGCAAACGGG